CACGUAGGGUGCGAGCGUUGUCCGGAAUUAUUGGGCGUAAAGAGCUCGUAGGCGGCUUGUCGCGUCGACUGUGAAAACUUGGGGCUCAACCCCAAGCUUGCAGUCGAUACGGGCAGGCUAGAGUUCGGUAGGGGAGACUGGAAUUCCUGGUGUAGCGGUGAAAUGCGCAGAUAUCAGGAGGAACACCGAUGGCGAAGGCAGGUCUCUGGGCCGAUACUGACGCUGAGGGGCGAAAGCGUGGGGAGCGAACAGG
rnacentral:rRNA from 1 species